rnacentral:misc_RNA from 1 species
CCAAUAGCGUAUAUUAAAGUUGUUGCAGUUAAAAAGCUCGUAGUUGAAUUUCGGGGUUCUUCCGUUGGUCAGGCUAACAAGUCUGUACUAGCGUGUAGAAUCUCUACCUUCUGGGGAACCAUCAUGUUAUUAAUUUAGCGUGGUGGGAAACCAGGACCUUUACCUUGAAAAAAUUAGAGUGUUCAAAGCAGGCUUACGUCUGAAUACAUUAGCCUGGAAUAAUAAAAUAGGACGGUGGUCCUGUUUUGUUGGUUUCUGAAUCACCGUAAUGAUUAAUAGGGAUAGUUGGGGGCAUUAGUAUUCAAUUGUCAGAGGUGAAAUUCUUGGAUUUAUUGAAGACUAACUUCUGCGAAAGCAUUUGCCAAGAAUGUUUUCAUUAAUCAAGAACGAAAGUUAGAGGUUCGAAGGCGAUCAGAUACCGCCCUAGUUCUAACCAUAAACGAUGCCGACCGGCGAUCCGCUGUCGUUACUUGAAUGACUCAGCGGGCAGCCUCCG